rnacentral:rRNA from 1 species
CCUACGGGAGGCAGCAGUGGGGAAUAUUGCGCAAUGGGCGAAAGCCUGACGCAGCGACGCCGCGUGUGGGAAGACGGUCCUCUGGAUUGUAAACCACUGUCCCCAGGGACGAAGAUGACGGUACCUGUAUAAGCAGCCCCGGCUAACUCCGUGCCAGCAGCCGCGGUAAUACGGAGGGGGCGAGCGUUGUUCGGAGUGACUGGGCGUAAAGAGCACGUAGGUGGUGUUGUAAGUCAUUAGUCAAAGACUAGAGCUCAACUUUAGUAAGGCUAGUGAUACUAUAAUACUAGAGUAUCAGAGAGGGUUGCAGAAUUCCUGGUGUAGCGGUGAAAUGCGUAGAUAUCAGGAGGAAUACCGUUAGCGAAGGCGGCAAUCUGGCUGGAAACUGACGCUGAGGUGCGAAAGCGUGGGUAGCAAACAGGAUUAGAUACCCGUGUAGUC